UUUAAUAAGCAGUUUUUUUGGAUCAUUACUUAAUCAGAACAACUUGUCUUUAACUGCUAUGUUGAAGGACCAUCCUGAAUUUUCUUUUUUGUGUUUGU